rnacentral:rRNA from 1 species
AUUGAACGCUGGCGGCAUGCUUUACACAUGCAAGUCGAACGGUAACAGGUUAAGCUGACGAGUGGCGAACGGGUGAGUAAUGCAUCGGAGCGUGCCCGGUCGUGGGGGAUAACGCAGCGAAAGCUGCGCUAAUACCGCAUACGAUCUAAGGAUGAAAACGGGGGACCGUAAGGCCUCGCGCGAUCGGAGCGGCCGAUGUCAGAUUAGGUAGUUGGUGGGGUAAAGGCUCACCAAGCCAACGAUCGGUAGCUGGUCUGAGAGGACGACCAGCCACACUGGGACUGAGACACGGCCCAGACUCCUACGGGAGGCAGCAGUGGGGAAUUUUGGACAAUGGGCGAAAGCCUGAUCCAGCAAUGCCGCGUGCAGGAAGAAGGCCUUCGGGUUGUAAACUGCUUUUGUACGGAGCGAAAAGGUCUCCUCUAAUACAGGGGGCUCAUGACGGUACCGUAAGAAUAAGCACCGGCUAACUACGUGCCAGCAGCCGCAGUAC